rnacentral:piRNA from 1 species
CCCGCAGAGUCUCCGCGUGGAUGG